CUACGGGGGGCUGCAGUGGGGAAUAUUGCACAAUGGGCGCAAGCCUGAUGCAGCCAUGCCGCGUGUAUGAAGAAGGCCUUCGGGUUGUAAAGUACUUUCAGCGGGGAGGAAGGGAGUAAAGUUAAUACCUUUGCUCAUUGACGUUACCCGCAGAAGAAGCACCGGCUAACUCCGUGCCAGCAGCCGCGGUAAUACGGAGGGUGCAAGCGUUAAUCGGAAUUACUGGGCGUAAAGCGCACGCAGGCGGUUUGUUAAGUCAGAUGUGAAAUCCCCGGGCUCAACCUGGGAACUGCAUCUGAUACUGGCAAGUUUGAGUCUCGUAGAGGGGGGUAGAAUUCCAGGUGUAGCGGUGAAAUGCGUAGAGAUCUGGAGGAAUACCGGUGGCGAAGGCGGCCCCCUGGACGAAGACUGACGCUCAGAUGCGAAAGCGUGGGGAGCAAACAGGAUUAGAUACCCCGGUAGUC
rnacentral:rRNA from 1 species